UACGUAGGUGGCGAGCGUUAUCCGGAAUGAUUGGGCGUAAAGGGUGCGCAGGCGGGCAUUUAAGCCGGCGGUCAAAUGUCGGGGCUCAACCCCGGCCUGCCGUCGGAACUGGGUGCCUUGAGUGGGCGAGAAGUAUGCGGAAUGCGUGGUGUAGCGGUGAAAUGCAUAGAUAUUGCGCAGAACUCCGAUUGCGAAGGCAGCCUACCGGCUUCUGUCUGACGCUGAGGCACGAAAGCGUGGGUAUCGAACAGG
rnacentral:rRNA from 1 species